CUGGAGCGGACUGGGGAACCCAGACCUGCCGAGCGACGUGGGCGAGCGGUGACCUGGACCACGGCGCAGACGCGGGCGAGCUGCGGCUCGGACGCCAGCGGACACGCGGGCGAGAUGUUUGAAGUGAGGCCAGGCAUGUUGGCUCACGCCUGUAAUCCCAGCACUUUCGGAGGCCAAGGUGGGAGAAUCACUUGAGGCUAGGAGUUGGAGACCAGCCUGGGCAACAUAGCAAGACUGCAUCUCUACAAAAAAAAAGAAAAGAUUCUUGAAGUGAAUGUAUACUCAUUUCCUGGUUGUUUCUUUCUGUAAGGAUGUCUGACCCAGCUAAUUUGUAAACAGGAAUUCUGCACUCAUUUCUGUUUUUGCAUUCUCAACCCCAGUUGGGCACACAAGUGUUU
rnacentral:lncRNA from 10 species